GAAUGAAGAACGUAGUGAAAUGCGAUAAGUAAUGUGAAUUGCAGAAUUCAGUGAAUCAUCGAAUCUUUGAACGCACAUUGCGCCCCUUGGUAUUCCGAGGGGCAUGCCUGUUCGAGCGUCAUUUUGACCACUCCCGCUUGCGGGGUCUUGGGCCUUCGCCUCUGGGCGGGCCUUAAAAUCAGUGGCGGUGCCGUCCGGCUCUAAGCGUAGUAAAUCUCCUCGCUAUAGGGUUCCGGAGGGAUGCUGGCCAACAACCCCCAACUUUUAAGGUUGACCUCGGAUCAGGUAGGGAUACCCGCUGAACUUAAGCAUAUCAAUAAGCGGAGGA
rnacentral:misc_RNA from 1 species